UGAAUCGCAUGGUUCAAAAGUGAAAGACGGUCUUGCUGUCACUUAUAGAUGGAUCCGCGCUGCAUUAGCUAGUUGGUAAGGUAACGGCUUACCAAGGCAACGAUGCAUAGCCGACCUGAGAGGGUGAUCGGCCACACUGGAACUGAGACACGGUCCAGACUCCUACGGGAGGCAGCAGUAGGGAAUCUUCCGCAAUGGGCGAAAGCCUGACGGAGCAACGCCGCGUGAGUGAUGGAGGUCUUCGGAUCGUAAAACUCUGUUAUUAGGGAAGAACAUAUGUGUAAGUAACUGUGCACAUCUUGACGGUACCUAAUCAGAAAGCCACGGCUAACUACGUGCCAGCAGCCGCGGUAAUACGUAGGUGGCAAGCGUUAUCCGGAAUUAUUGGGCGUAAAGCGCGCGUAGGCGGUUUUUUAAGUCUGAUGUGAAAGCCCACGGCUCAACCGUGGAGGGUCAUUGGAAACUGGAAAACUUGAGUGCAGAAGAGGAAAGUGGAAUUCCAUGUGUAGCGGUGAAAUGCGCAGAGAUAUGGAGGAACACCAGUGGCGAAGGCGACUUUCUGGUCUGUAACUGACGCUGAUGUGCGAAAGCGUGGGGAUCAAACAGGAUUAGAUACCCUGGUAGUCCACGCCGUAAACGAUGAGUGCUAAGUGUUAGGGGGUUUCCGCCCCUUAGUGCUGCAGCUAACGCAUUAAGCACUCCGCCUGGGGAGUACGACCGCAAGGUUGAAACUCAAAGGAAUUGACGGGGACCCGCACAAGCGGUGGAGCAUGUGGUUUAAUCCGAAGCAACGCGAAGAACCUUACCAA
rnacentral:rRNA from 1 species